rnacentral:rRNA from 1 species
UUGAACGCUGGCGGCAGGCCUAACACAUGCAAGUCGAAUGGUAACAGGAAACAGCUUGCUGUUUCGCUGACGAGUGGCGGACGGGUGAGUAAUGUCUGGGAAACUGCCUGAUGGAGGGGGAUAACUACUGGAAACGGUAGCUAAUACCGCAUAACGUCGCAAGACCAAAGAGGGGGACCUUCGGGCCUCUUGCCAUCAGAUGUGCCCAGAUGGGAUUAGCUAGUAGGUGGGGUAACGGCUCACCUAGGCGACGAUCCCUAGCUGGUCUGAGAGGAUGACCAGCCACACUGGAACUGAGACACGGUCCAGACUCCUACGGGAGGCAGCAGUGGGGAAUAUUGCACAAUGGGCGCAAGCCUGAUGCAGCCAUGCCGCGUGUAGGAAGAAGGCCUUCGGGUUGUAAAGUACUUUCAGCGGGGAGGAAGGGAGUAAAGUUAAUACCUUUGCUCAUUGACGUUACCCGCAGAAGAAGCACCGGCUAACUCCGUG